rnacentral:rRNA from 1 species
UGGGGAAUAUUGGACAAUGGGCGAAAGCCUGAUCCAGCCAUGCCGCGUGUGUGAAGAAGGUCUUCGGAUUGUAAAGCACUUUAAGUUGGGAGGAAGGGCAGUAAAUUAAUACUUUGCUGUUUUGACGUUACCGACAGAAUAAGCACCGGCUAACUCUGUGCCAGCAGCCGCGGUAAUACAGAGGGUGCAAGCGUUAAUCGGAAUUACUGGGCGUAAAGCGCGCGUUGGUGGGUCGGUAAGUUGGAUGUGAAAGCCCCGGGCUCAACCUGGGAACUGCAUUCAAAACUGACGAGCUAGAGUAUGGUAGAGGGUGGUGGAAUUUCCUGUGUAGCGGUGAAAUGCGUAGAUAUAGGAAGGAACACCAGUGGCGAAGGCGACCACCUGGACUGAUACUGACACUGAGGUGCGAAAGCGUGGGGAGCAAACA